rnacentral:lncRNA from 1 species
UUUUUUAACCUAAAAACUUAAACUCUUUCUGAAAAUACAGACAUGAUACACUAUUUAUAACUAAUUUAUAUCUUCAAAAAAGAAAAAAAGGAAAAGAAAAAUAGAAACACAAAAAGCGGAUCCUAAAAAGAAGGGCGCUGAUAUUGGAGGCUUUUUUGAAAAGCCAUAGAAGAAAUGGAGUUUGAUACUUCUCCGAUUAAUCGUUGCUCCAAAGAGCAUGAGAAAAUCUAUCAACAGUGGUUUAGCUUAGCCGAUUCAGGUAUUUUCCCUUUUCCUCAUUUUCUAUCCAUGGGAUCCGACUCACGAAUUUUAUGCUGAAAACGCGAAUUUGGGGUAUUUUGUAUCAGAUGGAGAUGGACGUCUCACUGGAGGCGAUGCCAUUAAGUUCUUUGCCUUGUCCAAUUUGCCACGCCAGGAACUCAAGCAGGUCUCUUUUCUUUCCUACUUUGGGCUGCGUGUUUCUUUUGAACUGGAUUUGUCGUUCCUUUUUUAUUUCCUCCCUCUCUUCCAAUUUAUGCAACAUAGUUUAAAUCAUUGAAGCUUGUCAUCUUAAACUUGCAUGUAUAUAAAACAUUUGAAAGUUGUGGCCGUAAAUAUUUCUUAUCAAGGGUACAAUAUUAAUGUAUAAAGUUAAUUGUUUUCAAAUAUAGAAUAAGGAAACAAUUUUACAUAAACUGGAAUGGAUGAAGUAAUUUUUAGAUGACAGUGUCGAGCUAGAGUACAUUGACUAAUAAUAGGUUACCAGUUGCUACUUUUCGACAGAUAUAGAGUAACUCUGCCCCAAAAGCUGAAGCAAAUGGGAAAAAUUAAUUAUGUUGCUUACUCCUUUCUGCCAAACAAAUUUAGCGGGAGAUAGAGAACACCAAAGUUUAGCGUGUUUUCACAUUCUGUUCCAUCCACCUUUCAUUCUUUUGCUGGUGCAGAGAAUGGCUUAGAGUGACAGUUUUUGAUACUCGAGUAUGGCUCAUUAGUUGUAGUCCCUUCAAAGCCAGGUUUUACAUGUUUAAAUUCUUAUAAAAUUUAGACUGAUGUUCUCUGGAUGAUUUGCCGUUACCUAAUCUUCUAUCCUGAAUGGUCACCGUACAAUAAUAAGCUCGACUAAGGCCUUAUUAAUUGUUAAUGUUCAAAGUGGAGGAUAAGUUCUUAAAGUAGUGUGCUUCUAAUUGAUCAUGUUGUAAACACCAGGAUUUCUGUUCUUCUCUCUUCAGUUUAGUAACUGACUCAAUCCUUGUAAAGCCUUUACCAUAAUUGAAUGAUGUCAACCAGAUUACAAGCUGUCUUUUCAUGAUGCAACUUCUUGUUUCUGAUCCUUGAUGGCAGUUCACAUUACGUGCUUUAUUGGGGGCUAAUGACACAUUUAUGUCUGAAAGUAGAUGUGGAGUAAGUCUUUAAGCAUUGUGUUGAAGUAGGUCUUAGAGCAUUUUUUCUCUGAUUCUUAGGUGAUGUCAUUGCGUGAAUGUAUAUCUGGUAUUUUUGUUCAGUUACCUUUGAGACCAAAUCCAAUCCACUAUUCCAUAGCAUCGCGUCAUCCAGAUUUUCUGUGAAUCUAUAGUAGGAAUCCUACACAAAGUGAAAGCCAUUAGAAUGCUUAAACCAACGAUGUUAUAUUAGAGUGAGUGUAUCUCUAUGGUCACACAUAUGCACAAGAUGAGCGUCUUAAAAAUGCAAAUAUUAAAAUGGAUGCAUAGUCAUACAAGAUUAAAAGAUGAUCACAUCUAACAAAGAUAUAAGUAGAAUGCGUAAAAGGCUGAAUGAGAGAAGGUUGCAUGAAAUGAUUUGACCAUAUCCUACGUAGACUUGACAUGAAGCAUAUAGGUGCAUUAUGAUGACUGGAGUUGAUAAAAUGGAUGAAGUAGAGAUAAAAUAACAUUAAAGGAAGUUAUCUCAAAAGCCAUACAAUCUCCGAAACAGUAUUGAUGUAGCUAAGAGCAGAACAUAACAAGAGCAAAGGAUCCAUAUAGGCGAUGUAAACUACUCAAGAUUUGAACUAGUUGUUAUUGUCCGCUUACGUUAGUCGACCCCAACUAGUUUGAAAUUGAAGAACAAUUGAUUGAUUGAUAUUUUGACUAAUUGGGCUUGGGAUGAUGAACUUGAGCGUUGUGCUUUGACAUCUGAUUUUUUCAAAGUGGUGAACCUCUUGCAGUAGACGGUGGAAAGUAUUUGUGUGAAUUUCAUCUUUACAACUAAUAAGAGUAACUCCGAUCUGAAAGGCGAAUGGAGGAUGAAACACGUGGAUAAGCUGGUCCUGUUAAGUGGGUAAUUCUGAUUAUUGGACCUUCGCUAAUCAUUUGCAAUUCAUGUUAACAUUUCGCGAUGAAUAGUGAACAGAACUGACCAGUGAAAAAAAAAACAGAACUGACCAGUGGAUAAAGUGUGUAUAAUUUGGCAAGCACAGUGAUAAGUGGAACUAAAUUUGGAUGGUGACAAGCCCAAAAGAAUUGGAUGGCAAAGUAAACCCUCCUAUGCCAACAAAACAAACAGAUGCUUGCUCUUUUUAUUACUUUUAGAGUGUUAUGUGGAUUAUGCCAAAUAUCCACGGACUAUUUGCAGUAGCAUUGUAUUUUUGUCCACCCCGUGCUACUAAGUUUUAUCACGUGUCAGUUUCCACCUAGUACUACUAUGAUUAUGCAUUUAAUAGCUAUUACCAAAAUCAGAUUUAUCCAUUCUUUUGUGCCAGUUUUGGUAAUUCUUGUGUAAUAGCUAUUUUUGUUUCAAUAAAUUAUUUUUCUUUUCUUCUUUUCCUAAGGUGUGGGCGAUUGCAGAUUCCAAACGGCAAGGCUUUCUUGGUUUUAGAGAGUUUAUUACUUCAAUGCAGGUACCAGUUUAUUAUGGAGUCGCAUUUCAACUUGGUAUUUACUUUUAAUCCAGCGAAGACUCAGAUUCCUUAUUUUUUUUUUUAAAUAUAGUUGGUCUCUUUGGCUCAAGCUGGCCAUCCAGUAACCGGUGAUCUCUUAAAUGCUGAAGGUAACUAGCAUACUUUAUAAACUUUUUGAUUCAAAACUUUAAGCUAGCAACGCCAGUAGUCUCCACAAUGCGGUCUCUGGCAAACUAGUUGAUCCAUUUCAAUGCCCUGUAUUCACUUUCUUUUGCUGUAGCAUUGUGUCAUAUCCUAAUCUUACAAUUAGAACAAUUUUAAUCAUGGCAGUUAACUUUGAAAAUUUGCAACCCCCUACCUUGGAAGGUCUUGAUGUACUUCAAGCUGUAAGUAUGUUAGAUUUACUUUUUGCAUUAGUUUUCAUUAAUUGUGGGGCUGUUGACUUAUAUUUUUAUAAUACAGAAGAAAAAGCGCACGCCUAAAAGUGAACCUGAACAGAAUGGUAAUUUUACUUAUCAUAUUCUUAUAUCUUUGUUCUUAGUAAUUCUUGGGAAAUUGAGAAGGGAGUUAGAUAGAUCUCCGAGUCUAACUGAUUGGAUUACAAAGCAGGCAAUCCUACAGCGCAAUCUUCCGUUACAGCUAAUUGGUUUUCAUCAUCAACAUCUGUAAAGAAGGUGAGAGACUUCAUGCAACUUGGAAUACCUGCCACUUGCUCUCUCCAUCCCAAAUUAUAUGACAGAUUUACGACAGAUAUUCUUAUAGGGAGCUCUUAAAAUGAUUGACACACUUCUUAUGUAAUACUUCUUUAUAUAACUUUCACAACUUACUCAUAUAAAUUCAUUUAGCUAUCUCAAAUUUAAAUCAUAUCAAAUAUUCUCCCUUCAAGUCAAUUUGUUAAUAAGCAUCUUUUGUCCUUUCCCAUUAAUGAGAUAGUUGUUUUGAUGUUGUGAACUAAUUGUUGAAAUGUACUUUCCUUACCUUAUCAAAAGAGAAAAUGUACUUUUCUUUAACUCCCCCUAAUACAUCCUAUAGCACAUCAUUGCGUGUUUAUUGCUAAAUUUUCUAUGUUUGCUCUUCAAUGAGGCCUGGUUCUUUUUAUCAACCCUCAGGUCUCUUUAACCUCUGUCACAUCCAUAAUCGAUGGACUGAAGAAGUUAUACAUCCAAAAACUAAAGCCACUGGAAGUCGCAUAUCGCUUUAAUGAUUUCGUCUCUCCAUUCUUGGUAGGUGAUUUAUUUCAUAAUUGUUGUGCUUAUUUUCAUGAAAAAGAAGCUUCUCGCUUAUAUGUCUUCCAUUCAACUAUGGUUUUCUUUGUACUGAUUUAUGGAAAAGCGGCACAGAAACCACUGACUGCUUUCCUUAAUGUGCUGUGUGUUGGUAGACAAAUAGUGAUUUUGAUGCCAAACCAAUGGUUAUGCUUUUGGGUCAAUACUCAACCGGAAAAACAACAUUCAUUAAGCAUUUACUUAGAACUAGCUAUCCAGGUUAGCUAAACUCUUUAUUCUUGUGUAUAUGCUCUUCUUUGUGCAUUCAUAGCUUUGUGUUGAUACUUUGCUCCUUGUUGUCUAUAGGUGCUCAUAUCGGGCCUGAGCCUACCACAGACAGAUUUGUGGUUGUCAUGGUAUUUUCAUUUAACUUUAUUAGACAGAUUUGUCGUUUUCAUGGUAUUUCACUUAUCUUUUGUUCUGCUCACCAUUGUGGUCACUUAUUUAAUGUCCUUUUUGGAUUAUGUUGCUGAACAAAAAGAGAACUUACGCUUUCUCCCUGAGUUGAAUGCCUUUCUUUCUAUCUGAAAUUGUGCCAAAAAUAGUGUGCACUAACUUGACAAAGAUGGCUUUUCAAUUUAUUAUGUUUAUCUUAUUGCGGAUAUAUCUUUUAACCUUUCUGUCCUAGCACAUAUUUCUAUUUAUCAUAUCAAUGAGAAUAUUUUGCCACAGUUUUUCUAGUUAUAAACCAAGACAUUUAGUUGGAAAGGAGAAGGCUAUACCAAUGCCAUGCAUGUUUGUUAAUGGCUUUCUCAAAUAUGAUUGUUAUGGUAAAUCUUUUGUAGGAUUGGUGAUCGGGUUUGACUGUAUUAUGCAGAAUGGGCCUGAUGAAAGGAGUAUUCCGGGGAACACAAUUGCUGUUCAGGCAGAUAUGCCAUUUAGCGGUCUGACAACUUUUGGAACUGCUUUUUUGUCAAAAUUUGAGUGUUCUCAAAUGCCUCAUCCUGUGAGUUAUGCUUCUUCUUCAUCUCAUAGAUAAAAUGAUCAGAGCUUUCACAAAAAUUCAUGAAACUCUGGACAUUUUUUCCCAACUUUUCCCUCUUUAUUAUGUUAGCUGUUGGAGCACAUCACGUUUGUGGAUACUCCUGGAGUUCUAUCUGGCGAAAAGCAACGAACACAAAGGAGCUAUGAUUUUACCGGUGUGACAUCUUGGUUUGCUUCCAAGUGUGAUCUCAUUCUUCUUUUGUUUGAUCCCCACAAACUUGAUAUAAGUGAUGAAUUCAAACGUGUGAUUGCGUCUCUUCGAGGCCAUGAUGAUAAGAUACGAGUGGUUUUGAACAAGGCUGACCAAGUUGAUACUCAACAAGUAAGGCAGGAAAUUAUUUUGGUUACUUUAUGAUUUCCACCUGUUUCUGAACUUCACUAGAAUUUGAUUUAAUUGUUGGUGUCAACUGCAGCUUAUGAGGGUUUAUGGAGCAUUGAUGUGGUCACUAGGGAAGGUUCUAAAUACCCCUGAAGUUUCGCGUGUCUACAUAGGGUAUAAUCUUCUUCUUCUUCUUCUUUCUUUUUUUUUUUUUUUUGGCAAUUAGUUCAGGUGCUCUGCCCAACAAAAUGUUAUUAAGUUGCACGAACUAAUAAAUAUUUUGGGAAUUCAAAUAUCCCUUAUUUGCUGGAUGCCGUUACCAUGUGUCAAAGCUGCAUCUUAUAUGUUAUAUCAGACUAUUGCUAGUGGACAUCAGAUCUUGAUCACCUAGCCCCAACAGAACUAGAGUGCGUUUAUAGCUUUUCACCUUUGACAACACUACCUCCGCCUCCAACCAGUAUGUUGGGGUUCGAGUCACUAGGGAGCAAAGUGCAUAGAACCUGAUCGGCUCCUGUACAGGGUGCCUUUUUUUGGGUGGUGGAGGGGUGGGGGGCAAAAAAGAAUCCACCUCAUGCUUUAUGUAUACUCAGCCUAUCGUAUCUGUUUUUCUCUCAUGCUUGAGGCGUAGGUAUUACAUGCAUGCUCUGGAAUCAGAUAUCUAAUAUGGAUGUCCAUUUCCUAUGUUGUUUGUAUAUAUGCAAAAUGUUGAGUCUUCUACGGUGUAGCCUUUUAGAUAUCGACAAUUACAAACUUUUUUUUGGAGUUACACAAAAAUGUGGGUGUUUUGGCUUCUACAGAUCAUUCAAUGACAAACCAAUAAAUGAGGCUGCUACAGGGCCAGUUGGAAAAGAACUUUUUGAAAAGGAGCAAGAUGAUCUUCUUACAGAUUUGAAAAACAUACCAAAGAAGGCUUGUGAUCGUCGUGUAAGUUCACAGUUUUCAUUAUGGAGUCAUAUUUUACUGCUCAUAUAUUGUGCAUCCAAUUUGCUUGAAAUGAGGAUAACAAACAGGUUAUAUUUUGUGCAGAUAAAUGAGUUUGUAAAACGUGCUAGAGCUGCCAAGAUACAUUCUUAUAUUAUCAGUCACCUGAAAAAGGAGAUGCCUGCAAUGAUAGGCAAAGCCAAGAUGCAGCAAAAACUAAUUGAUAACUUGGAAGAUCAAUUUGUAAAGGUCUCUGUCUCACGCUCUCUUUCUCUGUUGUGUGUCUCAAAUCUACAUACAUAUGUGCUCAGCAUGCAUGCGUGCUGAGCACCAACAAGCAAUUUCAGUCUUCUGACAUGAUCAUUUAUGGAGCUUUUUAUGUACUAAUAUCCAACUCAUAAAAACAGGUUCAAAAGGAACACCAUCUGCCACCUGGGGAUUUUCCUAAUGUCGAACACUUCAGGGAAGUUCUGAGUGGUUAUAACAUCGAUAAGUUUGAGAAGUUGAAGCCCAAAUUGAUACAAUCCGUUGAUGACAUGCUUGGUUAUGACAUCCCAGAACUUCUCAAGAAUUUCAGAAACCCUUAUGAUUGAUGAGGCCCAGAGCUGAUAUAGUAUAGAGUCGUUUCUCACAUUCGUGAUGUUUAUCAUAGUGUAUCUUGUAUUCUUAUUCUUAUUUUUACUCCCACAUUGAGACUUGGGCUUAAUAGCGAAUAUGAAGCGAUACUUUCAUUUGGCAAUUAUAGUGGCUUGUAAAUAUGCAUUAAGAAUUCUUUAUUUUUUGUGUUUGUAUGUGUAUUAAUUUUUUUCCUUUAUUUUUCUCGUUGGUUUCUUAGUUAUUCUUUUCACGAAAUGUCAUUGACCAGGUUUCGUGCCAUGUCUUAGCGACCUGCUACGUUUGUCAAUUUUUGUUGGCAUUCAGCUGGGUAACGUGAAGAUGUUAGAAACAGAAGAUGCCCGAGUUGCCAAGUAGUUGUUGUCACACCUCCUUUUUACACACCCGAAGGUAUAUACGAGAAUUUUUUCAAUUUAAGUGACAUUAUUCGAAAUGGGAUUAAUUAUUCAAUUCAGAGUCGCCACUUGGGAUAGUUUAUUUGGUGUCCCAAGUCAACGAUUUAUUUUAAAUCCCAAAUCGAGGAAAUUUCGACUUUCCUUUAGAAGUCUGCGAACCAGAAAUUCUGAAUAAGAAAUUCUGUUAACCCGAGGGAAGGUGUUAGGCACCCCCGGAUUCCGUGGUUCUAACACGGUCGCUUAAACUAUUAUAAUUGGUCUAUUAUCUGAUUUAUUACAUGUUUUAGCCUAUGGUACAUUUUUAACUUAUUAGCCGCUUUUAAUUAGUUUUAGGAAGAUUCAACGUUAUCUAAAACAUGUCUUGAACCACGCCACAUGAAAUGCACCCACGGUCCACAACACAUUUUAUUUAACGUUGUUGAGAUUUGGAUUUGGGUCACAUGAAAUGCACACCUGAGUUUAAGGAAAUUAAUUUAAAUAGCGCGCCUAAAGCAACUACGCACUUUCAAGUUUGCGAGGGCCAUGGAAAAUUCAACUAAAUGGAACGCCUCGAUUUCUAAGGAUUAAAUUAAAUGAGGGCCAUGAUUUUUGAGAUUUUAUUUGGCAUGGCGCGCCACGAUUAUUCUAAAAGGAUUGUAUUCAAUUUAAAGCAAACUAUAAAUGUUCAUGAUUAUUGCAAGGCCAUGGAUUAUAGUAGCUCUCUACUCUCUCGGGGUAAGGGUAAGGUCUACGUACUCACUAUCCUCUCCAGAUCCUGCUUGUGGAAUUAUACGGGGUUGUUAUUGUUGUUGUUGUUUCCUUAAAGCACUGCUUAUCUCUACACGAUCCAAAGUUUUUCCAACACUUCAAGUCUUUAACAAAAAUUCUUUGAGCACAACCUUUCCACUCAAGGAUUUUCAACAUAGAACGUUAUACACUUAUAUAGAUAAAUUGAUUUCUUGUUCUUAUCAGACAAUAAGCUCCACGCUUCUUAAACAUGCUUAAAAGCUCCUUCAAUCCCAAAUGACUUAUUCUUAUCAGGAUGAAGUAUGAGAGCUAAUUUCCUAUAUUGUUUCCUUAUCGCCUCAUCAUCAGUUUUCGGACUAACACCAACAAAACAUUAACUCUCACCCUAAUAUGGUGCAGAAACUAAAUAGAACAAUUACAUUGGGGCAGUAAGUAGUAGUCAGUGAAUGGAGAAACUUUAAGCCCAGUUUUUUAACCAAUUUGUUGUAACAACAACGAAUAGCUCCAUAAUCUUUUAUAGUUAUAGAAACACAUUGAAUUAACUUCAUAACUAUUGGUUGAGCAUAUAAUGCCAAACAACAUGUCAUAUAAACAAUAUUCCCAAACAACAGGUCAUACAAACGCUCAACGAAUUAUUUCAAAGCUUAACUCAUUGUGACAAACAAUUAGCCGUCAACAAUUAAUUACAUCAUUUUUGGACUGAAAUCCAUACCUCAAUCAGCAGUAAUACAUCGCGAAAUUAGCCCGAUUAAAAGCAAAGAAAGGAGCAGGGAGCUCAACGAUGAGACAAACAGCAGCAGCAACGAAAUUGACCAAAUAAGGUCUGAAAUAAGAGUGAACUCCAACAACGGGAAUAGCGACAAGGUCGUUCAAUUCGACUCCAUUUUUUUUGGAACAGAAUCCGAAAUUGGGAAGCCCGGGAAUGAGAAUUUUUUUUAUUCUUUUUUUUUUUUUUUGUUUUCUGAUUUUGAAAUAGAAACAGAACUGGAGCGAAGAACUGAACUCAAACUUUUCUACUUUUUCUCAAUUUUUUUUGUAUCUUUGUUCUAGGAAUUGAAAGAAAAUUCUGAAAUUAAUCCGAAACUUAACAAAAAAAAAAGAACCAAACAAAAAUCUUUUCCCCCUUUUCUCGAAUUUCAGUCCCAAAAUCUCAUGUUCCCGUCACUCCCAAAAAUUCCUCUGUUCUCUUACUUUCGGAUCUAAGAUUCACAGGGUUCGAACUCAAGAUUUUGUUUUAUCUCUUG